UUUGUGUGUAUAUAAUAAAACCUUGGGUGGCGAGUAACUUGUUCUUCGAAUGUUGCACAAGACGAGCAAACGUUUCUAAUAAAUUUUAACUUGAUAAACGAGUGAUGUUUUGCAAUACGAGUAGUACGUGACGCCCAAUGUCACAUG